CCUACGGGAGGCUGCAGUGGGGAAUAUUGGGCAAUGGGGGCAACCCUGACCCAGCAACGCCGCGUGAAGGAGGAAGGCCUUCGGGUUGUAAACUUCUUUGAUCAGGGACGAAACAAAUGACUGUACCUGAAGAACAAGCCACGGCUAACUACGUGCCAGCAGCCGCGGUAAUACGUAGGUGGCGAGCGUUAUCCGGAUUUACUGGGUGUAAAGGGCGUGUAGGCGGGUCUUCAAGUCGGGUGUGAAAUGUACAGGCUUAACUUGUAACGGUCAUCCGAAACUGUAGAUCUUGAGUACUGGAGAGGAUAGUGGAAUUCCUGGUGUAGCGGUAAAAUGCGUAGAUAUCAGGAGGAACACCAGUGGCGAAGGCGGCUAUCUGGACAGUAACUGACGCUGAGGCGCGAAAGCGUGGGGAGCAAACAGGAUUAGAUACCCGGGUAGUC
rnacentral:rRNA from 1 species